GACGAACGCUGGCGGCGUGCUUAACACAUGCAAGUCGAACGGGAUUUAGUAGACAGAAGCCUCGGCUAAAGAUUACUAAUGAGAGUGGCGAACGGGUGAGUAACGCGUGAGCAACCUGCCUAUGACAGUGGGAUAGCCUCGAGAAACCGGGAUUAAUACCGCAUAAAAUCGUAGAAACACAUGUUUUAACGGUCAAAGAUUUAUCGGUCAUAGAUGGGCUCGCGUCUGAUUAGCUAGUUGGUGAGAUAACAGCCCACCAAGGCGACGAUCAGUAGCCGGUCUGAGAGGAUGAACGGCCACAUUGGAACUGAGACACGGUCCAAACUCCUACGGGAGGCAGCAGUGGGGAAUAUUGCACAAUGGGGGAAACCCUGAUGCAGCGACGCCGCGUGAACGAAGAAGGUAUUCGUAUCGUAAAGUUCUGUCCUAUGGGAAGAUAAUGACAGUACCAUAGAAGAAAGCUCCGGCUAAAUACGUG
rnacentral:rRNA from 1 species